UCACGAACCAAUACCCAGCUCCCUGGUUCGAGCGGUGUCACGGCUCGUGGCGGUUCUCCCUCUGGAUUCCUCCAAUUGGCACGGACCUGGGGUCUCAUUUAUCAAGCGUGCGUAAAACAAGCUCUAAACUAGUGCGUAUACCAACAGCCGUAAGCACAAGAAAGUUGGGAGUUAUCAAACGUGAGUACGCACAGCUGUACGAAAUGACUGAUGAUGAAUCGCACUCCUUCUAAAUUGUUUGCGUGUGCAUAGUAAUUUAAAUUUGCAUACAGACACGCCCUCAAAUAACCUUAUUUGGCAAACAACCUUCCUUAUAAAAACCCAAUGCCGCCAGGGCACUAUAGAACCGUUAUCAUGGAUCCCGUGAAGAGAGGAAAGAAAAAAAACUUCACAGACAACGAAGUGGAAGUGCUGUUAAAUGAGGUACAACGUAAUAAGACGGUUUUGUUUGCUGCUUUUUCAGGCGGAAUGUCAAAGAAAAAAAAAGACUUGGGGUGGGGACAGGUUACUAAUGCGAUAAAUGCCGUCUCACCUGUAUGUAGAGCUACUGCAGAAGUGAAGAAAAAGUGGUUUGAUUUGAAAGUGUCCUCUAAAAAAAGAAUUGCAGCCCACAAAAGAGACCUCGGUGCCACGGGAGGAGGCCAGAGUCUUAUUUCAGUGUCACCAUUGGAUGACAAGAUAGCGUCAAUUAUUGGUGAAACGUCAGUGAGCGGAGUAAUCCCCGAUGGUGACACUGAAAGUGCAAUUCCAUCAACUGCAGGAGACGCCGAGCCAUCCGAAAAUGAUCUGCCAGUUUUGCCAGGUCCUGCUCCGCCUGCCACUUCAGCACGUCCGAUGCGUCUCGAGGCACGAGUCCUGACUGAUGCGGUUCUGAAAACACAGGAGGAAUUAGUGAGAGGCAUUGCAAGCAUAAAAGAAGAACUGCACCAAAUCAAUGUGAACUUGAGGAACAUUUGUGAUGCACUAAAUGCAUCAUGCAAGUUCAAUAAAAGCUCCAAUUGAUCUCA